AACCAUCUCUUGGCUCUCAUCUCCAAGGACAAGUAGAUUGGGUUGUUACACUGGGACUCCACAGAGAUAUUUUUGAAAAAAGAAGUUUUGUGACUAUAUACCAUAGUAAGUUUAUCUCGAUGCUCUUAUAUUUAUGUAACGAGAUUUUUUUUAUUUCUUGGUUUUAAUCAUUUAGUAAUUUUAUGAGUUUUUAAGAACUUGAAUCUAGUUUGUGAGAAAAAUUGUUAAAGUUGUCAACUUUAAACAAAAUUUAUAAAAGGUUUGUAUAUUUGAUGUGUUUUUCCUAGCUAUAAAGUGUCAGUUCUCUUACUGUGUUUAUUGCUACAAUGUGGAAGUAUUUUAAAAUUUUAGGAUGGAGGAGUCGUUCAAAGAAUUGUUAUAGCUUGUUGCUACUACUAUGAUGGCUGGUUUUAUUCUUUUAUAUUCUUGAGAAGGCAUUCCAACAAAAAACAAUGUCUGUUUGUUUGUAAGAGAACAAUACAAAGAAAGGGAGAAUAGUUUUUCUACGGGUUUUUAAUCUAUUUUUCUAAAGGCGGUGAAUUAAGAUGUUAAGAUGAUUAAUUGAUGUUAAUUGUUUAUAUAGAUGGUUAAGAUUGAGAUGAAAAGAAUUUGAAGAAUUAGAUGAGGAGAAGCUAGCAAAAGCUACGGGGAGGAGGAACUUCCGUUGCAGCAACGGAGAGAGAGGAAGACUAUAAGGAGGCUUUUUAUCGAUGCACUAUCAAUCGGCAUCUUAAUGAGGUUUCCUACGUGAAGAAGCUGCUGCUCCUAAGCUCCUCAUCAAGUUCAUUCAUGUUCAAGCGAUCCUGAUAUUUAUCAGCCAUUAUAUUUUACACGUUUAAGUUAGUGGAUAUGCAAUUUCUGGUGGUGGUCGUGGAAUUGCAAGAGAAGAUUGGUUUGCUGAUGGUGGAAAAACAUAGCUAGGUGGAAGCAUGCUAGCACAAGGACAAAUAAAAACAAACAACUAACAUAAAAAUAAAAAAAGCUGUUUGUAUAUUAACACAAGUACACUCCCAAAAGACAUGGAGCUUCGACUAAGAUAUUAGAGGCAUCUCCAACAUACCCUUUGAAUUGAUUGGCGAGGAUGUCACUUUGGGCCUUUUUCGCGCAUUCAGUCCACGACCUCCAUGCUAUUUUAUUUGCUUUUUUUCAUACAAUUUGGAUCAUAUAGACCAGCAUACUGUGUGCUUUUCUACUUUGCUUUUGUUGUUUUGUGUGUGUGUGUGGUGGUUAUCAGUGAAAGCUUGGAUAGGUUUCUGUA